UAGGGAAUCUUCGGCAAUGGGGGCAACCCUGACCGAGCAACGCCGCGUGAGUGAAGAAGGUUUUCGGAUCGUAAAGCUCUGUUGUAAGUCAAGAACGAGUGUGAGAGUGGAAAGUUCACACUGUGACGGUAGCUUACCAGAAAGGGACGGCUAACUACGUGCCAGCAGCCGCGAUAAUACGUAGGUCCCGAGCGUUGUCCGGAUUUAUUGGGCGUAAAGCGAGCGCAGGCGGUUUGAUAAGUCUGAAGUUAAAGGCUGUGGCUCAACCAUAGUUCGCUUUGGAAACUGUCAAACUUGAGUGCAGAAGGGGAGAGUGGAAUUCCAUGUGUAGCGGUGAAAUGCGUAGAUAUAUGGAGGAACACCGGUGGCGAAAGCGGCUCUCUGGUCUGUAACUGACGCUGAGGCUCGAAAGCGUGGGGAGCGAACAGGAUUAGAUACCCUGGUAGUCCACGCCGUAAACGAUGAGUGCUAGGUGUUGGAUCCUUUCCGGGAUUCAGUGCCGCAGCUAACGCAUUAAGCACUCCGCCUGGGGAGUACGACCGCAAGGUUG
rnacentral:rRNA from 1 species